rnacentral:rRNA from 1 species
CCUACGGGAGGCAGCAGUGGGGAAUAUUGCACAAUGGGGGAAACCCUGAUGCAGCGACGCCGCGUGAGUGAAGAAGUAUUUCGGUACGUAAAGCUCUAUCAGCAGGGAAGAAAAUGACGGUACCUGACUAAGAAGCCCGGGCAAAUACGGUCCCACCAGCGGGGGUAUUUGUAGGGGGCAAGCGUUAUCCGGGUUUACUGGGGGUAAAGGGAGCGUAGACGGGAGGGCAAGUCUGAAGUGAAAUCCCAUGGCGUAACCAGGGAACUGCGUUGGAAACUGUGCAGCUGGAGUGCAGGAGAGGUAAGCGGAAUGCCUAGUGUAGCGGUGAAAUGCGUAGAUAUUAGGAGGAACACCAGUGGCGAAGGCGGCUUACUGGACUGUAACUGACGUUGAGGCUCGAAAGCGUGGGGAGCAAACAGGAUUAGAUACCCUUGUAGUC